UAGCACUUUCAGGCUGCCAAACACACCAGGGUUAUUUUUACCCGGCUCCAGUUGAGGUAUAAAUAGUGUUGAGGCCGUUCUCUGGCGCUGGCUGAGAAACAUCCCGCGGACGCGGGCUGGGCGCGAAGGAGAUGUCACCCCGUGGUUGCCUGCCCUGGCCGCAGAGAGGGGUCCCUGGGGGGGGACACAGGUGGCCACCUACAUUAAUUAUACAUUAACUCUUGCCGGGAGAGACCUCUGUCGCUCGUUUGUAAGGGAGGGAUCAUCCCUGCAAAGGCAGGCGCCGGGGGGCUUGGGGAAACGCUGCUGCGAGGACAGAUGGGCAGGAGCGACGGGCAUCACCGACUCACCUCCUGUGAAAAAACACAUGGAGAUUUUUCCAGCCUGCCCUGUUAUUUAUGGCUCGGGAUCGAGCAGCCGGCUCCCGGCGGGGGCUGCCCCGCACAGCGCCGCAGAGGACGUUUCUGCAGACGUUUUGUUCGCCACGUACGGAAACUUCUGAUUAGGCACCAAGGGAUGCCGUGUUCAUCAUGGAAUGGACCACUUUGUCCAGAGGAAGGACAACAAAAUUCCCUAGGAAGUCACUCCUCUCCUCUGGGAAGAUAGAUAAACCUGUGGUGUACAAGUAGGGACUGGAAUAUUCCCCAUAUCCCGCUACAUCUGGGCUCAUCAGAAAAGUAAAGAUAUCCUCUGUUCAGAAGGGAAAAAAGACAUCCUCAGGAAUAAUUCAGUACAGGAAGCUGGCAGAGCUACAGCCCUCUAUCACCUCACAGAAUUUGCAGUUAUGUGUAAAGCUAAACCUUAGGAAAAGAGCAAUUUCAGUCUUCCUGGCUAGCCUGAAAGUAACCAUGCUGCCCUGCGCAACGCAGUUACUGACAGAGCAGCUGCAUGGGUAGAAACGCAUUUUUACAGAGUUAUUGGAGCUGGGAAUUGUGCUAGGAUUACUGGGUUCUUCCCCCAGCUCUGCCUUUGAUUUGUGGUGUGUGCAGACCCCUUAAUUUGUUUCUGUUUUCCCCAUCUGUGGGAUUGAGAUAAGAUCACAAGGGAAUUGUAGAGUGUGAUUCAUUAAUGUUUAUUAGACAGAGGGAAAUCCUUAAAUGAAUGGCACUGUAUUCCAGGAGGACAAAGUUCAAGACUGCAAAGAGGUUGAUUAAAACCAAAUCUGCUAUUCCCAGGCUAGGAGGACAAAAAAAGAAAAUUGAAAAACCUUACCUACCCCUAUGUCUGCCAAAAGCAGUAUAUGAUUUAAAUAAAAUCAAGCAGAAUGCGCAACUGUGCUGCAUACAUAUGUAUCUAUGAAAACCAUUAAAUACUUAUUAGUUAAUGUAUACGAAAAAGUGUAAUGAGGCUGUGCUUGAAGUUUCCAAUAAGAAAUAAUAAAGCAGCGUAUAUAGUCACCAUUAACUGUGUGAGUUACUGGUGGCAACACGGCAUUAGUACAUCGUGAGGCAAUAAAUAGGAUACGCUUUCAUAAAGGGAUGUAACAACAUACAG
rnacentral:lncRNA from 1 species